UACGGGGGGGGCAAGCGUUGUUCGGAAUUACUGGGCGUAAAGGGCUCGUAGGCGGCCAACUAAGUCAGACGUGAAAUCCCCAGGCUCAACCUGGGAACUGCGUCUGAUACUGGAUGGCUUGAAUUCGGGAGAGGGAUGCAGAAUUCCAGGUGUAGCGGUGAAAUGCGUAGAUAUCUGGAGGAACACCCGUAGCGAAGGCGGCACUCUGGGCCGGAACUGACGCUGAGGAGCGAAAGCGUGGGGAGCGAACAGG
rnacentral:rRNA from 1 species